rnacentral:rRNA from 1 species
UAGAGUUUGAUCAUGGCUCAGGAUGAACGCUAGCUACAGGCUUAACACAUGCAAGUCGUGGGGCAGCACGGCGGAAGCUUGCUUCUGCUGGUGGCGACCGGCGCACGGGUGAGUAACGCGUAUCCAACCUGCCUUUCACACGGGGAUAACCUUCCGAAAGGGAGCCUAAUAUCCGAUAUGGUCAUACGACGGCAUCAGAAUAUGACGAAAGCCUUCGGGCGGUGAGAGAUGGGGAUGCGUCCGAUUAGCCAGACGGCGGGGCAACGGCCCACCGUGGCGACGAUCGGUAGGGGUUCUGAGAGGAAGGUCCCCCACAUUGGAACUGAGACACGGUCCAAACUCCUACGGGAGGCAGCAGUGAGGAAUAUUGGUCAAUGGGCGGGAGCCUGAACCAGCCAAGUAGCGUGCAGGAAGACGGCCCUAUGGGUUGUAAACUGCUUUUAUGCGGGGAUAAAGUGUGUCACGUGUGGCAUAUUGCAGGUACCGCAUGAAUAAGGACCGGCUAAUUCCGUGCCAGCAGCCGCGGUAAUACGGAAGGUCCGGGCGUUAUCCGGAUUUAUUGGGUUUAAAGGGAGCGCAGGCGGCUUGACAAGCGUGCCGUGAAAACCCGCCGCCCAACGGCGGGCUUGCGGCGCGAACUGUCUGGCUUGAGUGCGUGCAACGUAGGCGGAAUUCGUGGUGUAGCGGUGAAAUGCUUAGAUAUCACGAAGAACCCCGAUUGCGAAGGCAGCCUACGGGCGCGCCACUGACGCUGAGGCUCGAAGGUGCGGGUAUCGAACAGGAUUAGAUACCCUGGUAGUCCGCACGGUAAACGAUGGACGCCCGCUAUGUGGGAUAUAAUUCUGCGUGGCCAAGCGAAAGCGUUAAGCGUCCCACCUGGGGAGUACGCCGGCAACGGUGAAACUCAAAGGAAUUGACGGGGGCCCGCACAAGCGGAGGAACAUGUGGUUUAAUUCGAUGAUACGCGAGGAACCUUACCCGGGCUUGAAUUGCAGAGGAAAGAUCCAGAGAUGGUGAUGCCCUUCGGGGUCUCUGUGAAGGUGCUGCAUGGUUGUCGUCAGCUCGUGCCGUGAGGUGUUGGCUCAAGUGCCAUAACGAGCACAACCCCUGUUGCCGGUUGCCAUCACGUAGAGGUGGGCACUCCGGUGAGACUGCCGCCGCAAGGUGUGAGGAAGGUGGGGAUGACGUCAAAUCAGCACGGCCCUUACGUCCGGGGCUACACACGUGUUACAAUGGGGGGCACAGAGCGCUGGUCGUGCGCGAGCACGUCCGAAUCGCGAAAUCCCUCCUCAGUUCGGACUGGGGUCUGCAACCCGACCCCACGAAGCUGGAUUCGCUAGUAAUCGCGCAUCAGCCAUGGCGCGGUGAAUACGUUCCCGGGCCUUGUACACACCGCCCGUCAAGCCAUGAAAGCCGGGGGCGCCUGAAGUCCGUGACCGCGAGGGUCGGCCUAGGGCGAAACCGGUGAUUGGGGCUAAGUCGUAACAAGGUAACC